rnacentral:lncRNA from 1 species
AAUGAAGAAAGAAAAUUCCACACCAUUUCUUCUUGAAUAUUUUCAUUAUAUAUAAGUAUCCAUUCACAACUAAGAAAUUAUAGCAAUCUUCAGAGCCUGCACAUCCAUAAUUUUUUAGUGUCGAGGAAAGAAACGCGAUUUUCUUAUUCAUAUAUAGCCAAGAACGGAUAGAAAAAUGGGGUUGUUUUCAAGAUUUUUCAGCUGUUACAGUAAUUCAUCUGCUUCUCGAAUAUCUGAUUCCAUCAUCAAACAUCAGAAAGCGCCUUCUUCGGAGAAACAGAAGAGCAAAGUAAAGUCAAAAGGCGCUCCGAUUCCAGUCUCUUACUUCCCAAUGAACUCAAUGCUUUCGCGCUUGUAAUCGACCCUCCAUACUCAGUUAAUCAUUAAAAAUUCUUUGGCAGCUGCUCAUGAAAAAAUGAUAAUAGUUUCAACUUUUCCGACAACUUUAAGAUCUGUUUCCAAUGAAUUAAUUGUACCUUUUCAGAUUCUUUAAUUAGGGAUUUCUUAUUUUGUGUCGUCCUGCAAUCUGUAUGAUUGCAUGAAAUGCCUAAUUUAUAUAUGUAUUACAUCUUUUUAUUCUGUUGUUUGUAUGUUUUACAUUCUAUAAUGUGACUUCAAAUUUAAUAUCAUGUCAACAUAGAAAAAAAGAUGUGAGUUCUCGUGUUUCGAUCAAAAUGAAAUAUCUGUAACUAAUCGCCAUUUCCUUAAUCUCAAUUGUUAGCAAGAGUGCAAAAUUGAACUACUUGAUCAGUUGAACAUAAGACUACUUAUAACUACAGUUUAAUCAAUCAUAGUAAUUCUUGAGCUUGAUAAAAAAGAGUGCAGCAACCUAUUUUUUUUAAGGGGAAAAAAACGAGGAAAAGAAUUCGUAAAACAUUCUUUUUAUAUUUUCUUACGUGUAACCUAGGUGCACUCUCUAAUAGGAAAAUUGAUGGAAGUUUAAAAUUUAUACGUGAGAACCGAAAAAAAAUAAAUAAUUGUUUUAGUAUUAUGUUU